UCUAGACUUCGUAAUGCGAUCUCUUCUUUUUCCCUGAAGAACAUGUGUCCGACUCGAACUACACAGAAAGCGACAGAAGUAACGAAACUCCUGGUGCUAAAAAAUGAAGCCGCAAAGAUGCUACCUUUACAAAGACAGUGCUGCCAAUGCAGGGACAGAAAAUAUAUAUUGUUUUCGCCGGCUUUGCCAAUCGGAAUAGGCCAAACAUUUGUUCACAAAUUGUCAACAAAUCAGGCAGUUAAUAGUCAGUUCAUUGUAAUUUCCUUCUGGAUUGUUCGCAUCCUCCCUGAAGAAAGCAACGCGUGGAUUCUGCCGAAGACCAAUCCAAGAAGAAGUGAAAAGUGAACAAAUUGCACUGUAAUUCGAAUUCCUUUCAUCAAUUAGUGCACAUACAAUGAACGGUCAGAAUCGCAAGAGGAAGUGGCAAGCUGGGCGCGGUGAGGAUCUCACCCCCGACGACCGUAUUGAACUGAUUGCCGAGUUGAUGGCUAAACUAGACGGAGUCAAUUUCGUCGCCGACUUUUUCCGCAUCCGUCGACUGAAACUGCUGAUCACCGACUGCCUGCCCGACCAAAAGGAGCAGCUGCUACGCAUUCUCAUAGGCUAUGUGAACCGGCCCCCCAGCCCGGCCACAGCUAGCUACGCCAAAAUUGUGAAUCUCCUCAGCAAAGACAUUGGUUCCCUGAUGGUCGACUGCAUCCGCGCCCUGAAGGCGGUCCAAGAGAAGGCACUCAUCGAUGGCAAGUGGGACAACGCGCGCGGCCUGGAGUGCUUCUUAGCUGAGCUAAGCAAGUGACAUAGCAGAGAAGGGCCCUGGCUAUGCAGUUUGAUCACUGCACUGCCCCUGUUCGGCCACGAUACGUUGUACAUAUCAAACUCUCGGUAAACAAAACAUAGCAUAUUCAAUAACACGAGCCUAAGACACGAGGCUAACAAACGAGCCUAAUAAACGAAGAAUCUAGGCAACGAUAUUGGUGCACUUUAA
rnacentral:misc_RNA from 1 species